rnacentral:lncRNA from 1 species
UUUUUUUGAGACGAGUCUUGCUCUGUCGCCCAGGCUGGAGUGAAGUGGCGUGAUCUUGACUCACUGCAAGCUCUGCCUCCUGGGUUCACGCCAUUCUCCUGCCUCAGCCUCCCAAGUAGCUGGGACUACAAGCGCCCGCCACCUACACCCGGCUAAUUUUUUGUAUUUUUUUUUUUUUUUUUUUUUUUUAGUAGAGACGGGGUUUCACCGUGUUAGCCAGGAUGGUCUCGAUUUCUUCACUUUGUGAUCCACCCGCCUCGGCCUCCCAAAGUGCUGGGAUUAUAGGUGUGAGCCACCGCUCCCGGCCGUCUUUUACUUACUUUUUAAUGAGACUGUUUGUUUUUUGCUUGAAUAUUUAAGUUUCUUAAAGAUGCUAGAUAUUAGACCUUUGUCAGAUGCAUCAAUUGCAAAUAUUUUCUCCCAUUCUGUAGGCUGCCUGUUUACUCUGUUGAUGGUUUCUUUUGCUGUGCAGAAUCUCUUUAGUUAAAUUAGAUCCCGUCUGUCAACUUUUGUUUUUGUUGCAAUGGCUUUUGGUGUCUUCAUCAUGAAGUCUUUGCCAGGGCCUAUGUCCAGAAUAGUAUUUUCUAGGUUAUCUUCCAGAGUUUUUACAGUUUUAGGUUUUACAUUUAGGCAUUUAAUCAAUCUUGAGUUGAUUUUUGUAUAUGGUGUAAUAAAGGGGUCGAGCUUCAAUUUUGUGCGUAUGCUACACAGUUAUCCCAGCACAUUAUU